GACGAGCGCUGGCGGCGUGCCUAAUACAUGCAAGUCGAGCGAAGUUUUUCUGGUGCUUGCACCGGAAAAACUUAGCGGCGAACGGGUGAGUAACACGUAAAGAACCUGCCUCAUAGACUGGGACAACUAUUGGAAACGAUAGCUAAUACCGGAUAACAGCAUUAACUGCAUGGUUGAUGUUUAAAAGUUGGUUUUGCUAACACUAUGAGAUGGCUUUGCGGUGCAUUAGCUAGUUGGUGGGGUAAAGGCCUACCAAGGCGACGAUGCAUAGCCGACCUGAGAGGGUGAUCGGCCACACUGGGACUGAGACACGGCCCAGACUCCUACGGGAGGCAGCAGUAGGGAAUCUUCCGCAAUGGGCGAAAGCCUGACGGAGCAACGCCGCGUGAGUGAAGAAGGAUUUCGGUUCGUAAAGCUCUGUUGUUAGGGAAGAAUGAUUGUGUAGUAACUAUACACAGUAGAGACGGUACCUAACCAGAAAGCCACGGCUAACUACGU
rnacentral:rRNA from 1 species